rnacentral:rRNA from 1 species
GAUGAACGCUAGCGGCAGGCCUAAUACAUGCAAGUCGAACGGAAUAUAGUUUUCGGAUUAUAUUUAGUGGCGCACGGGUGAGUAACACGUACAUAACUUACCCUCAAGAGGGGGAUAGCCUUGGGAAACUGAGCGUAAUACCCCAUAGUAUUAUUGAACGGCAUCGUUUGAUAAUUAAAGCUACGGCGCUUGAGGAUAGAUGUGCGUCUGAUUAGCUAGUUGGUAAGGUAACGGCUUACCAAGGCGACGAUCAGUAGGGGGCGUGAGAGCGUGGCCCCCCACACGGGUACUGAGACACGGACCCGACUCCUACGGGAGGCAGCAGUAAGGAAUAUUGGUCAAUGCCCGGAAGGGUGAACCAGCCAUGCCGCGUGAAGGAUGACUGCCCUCUGGGUUGUAAACUUCUUUUUGGAUGGGGACGAAAAAAACGGGAUUUAUCCUGGACUGACGGUACCAUCAGAAUAAGCACCGGCUAACUCCGUG